rnacentral:rRNA from 1 species
CAGCUAGUUGGUGAGGUAAUGGCUCACCAAGGCGACGAUCCGUAACUGGUCUGAGAGGAUGAUCAGUCACACUGGAACUGAGACACGGUCCAGACUCCUACGGGAGGCAGCAGUGGGGAAUAUUGGACAAUGGGCGAAAGCCUGAUCCAGCCAUGCCGCGUGUGUGAAGAAGGUCUUCGGAUUGUAAAGCACUUUAAGUUGGGAGGAAGGGCAUUUACCUAAUACGUAAGUGUUUUGACGUUACCGACAGAAUAAGCACCGGCUAACUCUGUGCCAGCAGCCGCGGUAAUACAGAGGGUGCAAGCGUUAAUCGGAAUUACUGGGCGUAAAGCGCGCGUAGGUGGUUUGUUAAGUUGGAUGUGAAAUCCCCGGGCUCAACCUGGGAACUGCAUUCAAAACUGACAAGCUAGAGUAUGGUAGAGGGUGGUGGAAUUUCCUGUGUAGCGGUGAAAUGCGUAGAUAUAGGAAGGAACACCAGUGGCGAAGGCGACCACCUGGACUGAUACUGACACUGAGGUGCGAAAGCGUGGGGAGC